GCCGGGAUGGUGGAAUUGGUAGACACGCUGGACUUAAAAUCCAGUGGGAGUUAAAUCCCGUGCGGGUUCAAGUCCCGCUCCCGGCA
rnacentral:tRNA from 1 species